rnacentral:lncRNA from 1 species
UCUCUUAGUAAAAAAUUUGGAUGAUAUUUCCAUUUGUUUCUAUUGAAAAUAGACUCAUUAAUAAUUUAAGCACCAGAACAAUAGACGGCAGAAUUUUUUUGGAAAAGAGAGUCAAAAUUUGGUUAUGGGAAAAAAAAUCUCGAUAACCCCCAAAAUCCCUUAAUCUUCUCCCCUGAUUCCCACUACACAACCACUAUUCAAAAUCCC